rnacentral:rRNA from 1 species
AAGAAUUUAAAGGUCGAACAGACCUAUUAAUUAAGCUACUGCACCUAAUUAUUAUCUUAAUCCAACAUCGAGGUCGCAAGCCUUCUUGUAAAUUUGAACUCUGAAAGAAGAUUACGCUGUUAUCCCUAAGGUAACUUAAUCUAAUGAUCAAUAAUAUUGGAUCCAAUAUUCAUAAAUUAAUGUAAAUUAAAUAAUAAAAGUUAAAUAUAUAUUUCUUGUCACCCCAACAAAACAAUAUUAAUUUUAAUAUUAAAUUAUUAAACAAGGAAAUAUUAAAAAUAAAAUAAUGUAAAGCUCUAUAGGGUCUUCUCGUCCUCCAAAGAUAUUUAAGCCUUUUAACUUAAAAGUUAAAUUAUAAAUUUAUAAAUAAGACAGUUCAUGUUUCGUUAAACCUUUCAUACCAGCCUCCUAUUAAAAGACUAAUGAUUAUGCUACCUUUGCACGGUCAAUAUACCGCGGCCGUUAAAUAUAAUUUCACUGGGCAGGCCAGACCUUCC